CUGAACCAGCCAAGUAGCGUGAAGGAUGACUGCCCUAUGGGUUGUAAACUUCUUUUAUAAAGGAAUAAAGUCGGGUAUGCAUACCCGUUUGCAUGUACUUCAUGAAUAAGGAUCGGCUAACUCCGUGCCAGCAGCCGCGGUAAUACGGAGGAUCCGAGCGUUAUCCGGAUUUAUUGGGUUUAAAGGGAGCGUAGAUGGAUGUUUAAGUCAGUUGUGAAAGUUUGCGG
rnacentral:rRNA from 1 species